AACGAACGCUGGCGGCAGGCCUAACACAUGCAAGUCGAGCGCCCAGCAAUGGGAGCGGCGGACGGGUGAGUAACGCGUGGGAAUUUUUCCUGGAGUACGGAACAACCGAGGGAAACUUCGGCUAAUACCGUAUGAUGCCGAGAGGCCAAAGAUUUAUCGCUCUGGGGUGAGCCCGCGUCAGAUUAGGUAGUUGGUGGGGUAAAGGCCUACCAAGCCUGCGAUCUGUAGCUGGUCGAGAGGACGAUCAGCCACACUGGGACUGAGACAUGGCCCAGACUCCUACGGGAGGCAGCAGGUGGGGAAUCUUGCGCAAUGGGCGAAAGCCUGACGCAGCCAUGCCGCGUGAGUGAAGAAGGUCUUAGGAUUGUAAAGCUCUUUCGCUCGUGACGAUGAUGACGGUAACGAGAGAAGAACGCCCCGGCUAACUUCGUGCCAGCAGCCGCUAGU
rnacentral:rRNA from 1 species